UACGUAGGGUGCAAGCGUUGUCCGGAAUUAUUGGGCGUAAAGGGCUCGUAGGCGGUCCAUCGCGUCGGGAGUGAAAAGCUGGGGCUUAACCCCAGUCCUGCUUCCGAUACGGGUGGGCUAGAGGUAGGUAGGGGAGAUCGGAAUUCCUGGUGUAGCGGUGGAAUGCGCAGAUAUCAGGAGGAACACCAAUAGCGAAGGCAGCUCGCUGGGACGGUAUUGACGCUAAGGCGCGAAAGCGUGGGGAGCAAACAGG
rnacentral:rRNA from 1 species